rnacentral:rRNA from 1 species
UACGUAGGUGACAAGCGUUGUCCGGAUUUACUGGGCGUAAAGAGCGCGCAGGCGGUCGAUCAAGUCGCGUGUGAAAGCCCCCGGCUCAACUGGGGAGGGUCACGCGAUACUGAUCGACUCGAAGGCAGGGGAGACUGGAAUUCCUGGUGUAGCGGUGAAAUGCGCAGAUAUCAGGAGGAACACCGGUGGCGAAGGCGGGUCUCUGGGCCGAUACUGACGCUGAGGAGCGAAAGCAUGGGUAGCGAACAGG